GACGAACGCUGGCGGCGUGCUUAACACAUGCAAGUCGAACGCUGAAGCUCAGCUUUUGUUGGGUGGAUGAGUGGCGAACGGGUGAGUAACACGUGAGUAACCUGCCUCCUUCUUUGGGAUAACGCCCGGAAACGGGUGCUAAUACUGGAUAUUCACUGGUCUUCGCAUGGGGGUUGGUGGAAAGGGUUUUUCUGGUGGGGGAUGGGCUCGCGGCCUAUCAGCUUGUUGGUGGGGUGAUGGCCUACCAAGGCUUUGACGGGUAGCCGGCCUGAGAGGGUGACCGGGCACAUUGGGACUGAGAUGAGGCCCAGACUCCGACGGGGGGCAGCAGUGGGGAAUAUUGCACAAUGGGCGCAAGCCUGAUGCAGCGACGCCGCGGGAGGGAUGGAGGCCUUCGGGUUGUGAACCUCUUUCGCUCAUGGUCAAGCCGCAACAAUGGUUGUGGUGAGGGUAGUGGGUAAAGAAGCGCCGGCUAACUACGUG
rnacentral:rRNA from 1 species